GACGAACGCUGGCGGUGUGCUUAACACAUGCAAGUCGAACGGUAAGGCCCUUUCGGGGGUACACGAGUGGCGCACGGGUGAGUAACACGUGAGUAACCUGCCCUCAUCUCUGGGAUAACAGUCGGAAACGGUUGCUAAUACUGGAUAUGAGCCUGCAAGGCAUCUUGUGGGUUGGAAAGAUUUUUUGGUUGGGGAUGGACUCGCGGCCUAUCAGCUUGUUGGUGAGGUAGUGGCUCACCAAGGCUUCGACGGGUAGCCGGCCUGAGAGGGCGACCGGCCACAUUGGGACUGAGAUACGGCCCAAACUCCUACGGGAGGCAGCGGUGGGGAAUAUUGCACAAUGGACGGAAGUCUGAUGCAGCAACGCCGCGGGCGGGAUGACGGCCUUCGGGUUGUAAACCGCUUUCAAUUGUGACGAAGCUUUUUGUGACGGUAGCAGUAGAAGAAGCACCGGCUAACUACGUG
rnacentral:rRNA from 1 species